rnacentral:rRNA from 4 species
AAAUUGAAGAGUUUGAUCAUGGCUCAGAUUGAACGCUGGCGGCAGGCCUAACACAUGCAAGUCGAGCGGCA